GACGAACGCUGGCGGCGUGCUUAACACAUGCAAGUCGAACGGUGAAGCGCUUUCCUUUUUGGUUGGUGUGGAUGAGUGGCGAACGGGUGAGUAACACGUGAGUAACCUGCCCCCUUCUUCUGGAUAACCGCAUGAAAGUGUGGCUAAUACGGGAUAUUCUGCGCCUGCUGCAUGGUGGGUGUGGGAAAGAUUGUGCCUUUGGGUGUUUUCGGUGGGGGAUGGGCUCGCGGCCUAUCAGCUUGUUGGUGGGGUGAUGGCCUACCAAGGCGGUGACGGGUAGCCGGCCUGAGAGGGUGGACGGUCACACUGGGACUGAGACACGGCCCAGACUCCUACGGGAGGCAGCAGUGGGGAAUAGUGCACAAUGGGCGCAAGCCUGAUGCAGCGACGCCGCGUGAGGGAUGGAGGCCUUCGGGUUGUGAACCUCUUUCGCCAGUGAAGCAGGCCUGCUCCUUGUGGGUGGGUUGACGGUAGCUGGAUAAGAAGCGCCGGCUAACUACGUG
rnacentral:rRNA from 1 species